UACGGAGGGUGCGAGCGUUGUCCGGAAUCACUGGGCGUAAAGGGAGCGUAGGUGGGCUGGUAAGUCAGUGGUGAAAUCUCCGGGCUUAACUCGGAAACUGCCGUUGAUACUAUCAGUCUUGAAUAUUGUGGAGGUAAGCGGAAUAUGUCAUGUAGCGGUGAAAUGCUUAGAUAUGACAUAGAACACCGAUAGCGAAGGCAGCUUGCUACACAAUUAUUGACACUGAGGCUCGAAAGCGUGGGGAUCAAACAGG
rnacentral:rRNA from 1 species